rnacentral:rRNA from 1 species
GACGAACGCUGGCGGCGUGCUUAACACAUGCAAGUCGAACGAAGUGGCGAACGGGUGAGUAACGCGUAAUCAACCUGCCCUUCAGAGGGGGACAACAGUUGGAAACGACUGCUAAUACCGCAUACUGAAGGUGGGGAUUGCGUCUGAUUAGCUAGUUGGAGGGGUAACGGCACACCAAGGCGAUGAUCAGUAGCCGGUCGUAGAGGAUUAACGGCCACAAUGGGACUGGGACACGGCCCAAGCUCCUACGGGAGGCAGCAGGUGGGAAUCUUCCGAAAUGGACGAAAGUCUGACUGAGCAACGCCGCGUGAGUGAUGACGGCCUUCGGGUUGUAAAGCUCUGUUAAUCGGGACGCGGUACCGGAAUAGAAAGCCACGGCUAACUACGUGCCAGCCGCCGCGGUAAUUC